UCAUUCAAGAGCAGGACUAACAAGGAUUCCCCUAGUAACUGCGAGUGAAGCGGGAAAAGCUCAAAUUUAAAAUCUGGCGGUCUCCGGCCGUCCGAGUUGUAAUUUAGAGAAGCGUUAUCCGUGCUGGACCGUGUAUAAGUCUCCUGGAAUGGAGCGUCAUAGAGGGUGAGAAUCCCGUCUUUGACACGGACUACCAGUGCAUUGUGAUGCGCUCUCGACGAGUCGAGUUGUUUGGGAAUGCAGCUCAAAAUGGGUGGUAAAUGCCAUCUAAAGCUAAAUAUUGGCGAGAGACCGAUAGCGAACAAGUACCGUGAGGGAAAGAUGAAAAGAACUUUGGAAAGAGAGUUAAACAGUACGUGAAAUUGUCGAAAGGGAAACGGUUGCAGUCAGUCGCGUCCGCCGGGGAUCAACCUUGCUUUUGCUUGGCGUAUUUCCCGGUGGAUGGGUCAGCAUCAGUUUUGACCGCAGUUGAAAGGCUGGAGGAAUGUGGCACCUUCGGGUGUGUUAUAGCCUCCUGUCAUAUGCUGCGGUUGGGACUGAGGAACUCAGCACGCCGCAAGGCCGGGAUUCGUCCACGUUCGUGCUUAGGAUGCUGGCAUAAUGUCUGUAACCGACCCGUCUUGAAACACGGACCCAAA
rnacentral:rRNA from 1 species